ensembl:lncRNA
CUUGAUUCUGAGAAUGUGCCACUUGGGCACAGCAAAGCGUUCUUUUCCCUGCGUUUUGCCUUCAUUCCUUUGGCAUAACCCAAAUCCUCUUCGGUGGCAUGCUCCCAAUUGCUGAAAUUCCCAACAUUCAUGAGGAGGGCCUCUUGUUCCCACUCCGAGUUCAAAACCAAGCAAGGGUCCCCAGCCAACCUCAGAAGCUGCCUUGGGACCCCUUGGGGAGCCACCUUCAGUGCUCUGGAUGUAAAUGGUUAUUCAUAUGCUGCUUCUACUGCGGCUGCUGCUCCUGACGUUUACUAAAGCACACGCAUCAAAGAGGGACCCAGCCGCACAUCUUGUCCUUUGCAGCGAGCUGCAAGCGACUCUAAUUUCUUCCAGGCUGGGAGAGACAUUCAGAACAGGGCACACUUAUCCUUCUAUCUUGGAAGGCAGAACCUCACAAGAUAUGGAAAUAUCCAUGACGGUCGACCCAUAGUCCAUAACCUGGGAAAAUAUCCAAACAUGUCCAUGACUAUUUAGAUCAAGUCGAUUUCCAACAAUGGAUUUUGAACAGGAACAGAACAUGCCAUAAUGCUCAAGACUGAGGAAUACUUACUUUUGGAUAAGGUCAGUUGUUUUGCUAUUAUGCAGCUCAGAGUUAGGCAAACUCUUUCAGCAAG